UAUACAGGGGGUACCGGUACAGAGUCAAUGUGGAGGCAAUAUACAGGGGUUACCGGUACAGAGUCAAUGUGGAGGCUAUAUACAGGGGGUACCGGUACAGAGUCAACGUGGAGGCUAUAUACAGGGGGUACCGGUACAGAAGUCAAUGCGGAGGCUAUAUACAGGGGGUACCAGUACAGAGUCAAUGUGGAGGCUAUAUACAGGGGGUACCGUUACAGAGUCAAUGUGGAGGCUAUAUACAGGGGGUACCGGAACAGAGUCAAUGUGGAGGCUAUAUACAGGGGGUACCGGUACAGAGUCAAUGUGGAGGCUAUAUACAGGGGGUACCAGUACAGAGUCAAUGUGGAGGCUAUAUACAGGGGGUACCGGUACAGAGUCAAUGUGGAGGCUAUAUACAGGGGGGUACCGGUACAGAGUCAAUGUGGAGGCUAUAUACAGGGGGUACCGGUACAGAGUCAAUGUGGAGGCUAUAUACAGGGGGUACCGGUACAGAGUCAAUGUGGAGGCUAUAUACAGGGUGUACCGGUACAGAGUCAAUGUGGAGGCUAUAUACAGGGGGGUACCAGUACAGAGUCAAUAUGGAGGUUAUAUACAGGGGGGUACCAGUACAGAGUCAAUGUGGAG
rnacentral:lncRNA from 1 species